rnacentral:lncRNA from 1 species
UCGUCAUCCCGAGGUUACAGUCGUCACAGUCGCCACGGACGCCUUUCGGUCAGUUCUUUCGGUUGCUACUUUCUUACCCUGGCAGCAGCUUAAAUCGCGUGUGGUUCGUCUUUCCCCCCCGCUCCCCUCCUUACCCCGUCCCCAACAAUCCAUCCCCCCGUUCCCCUCCUCCCUUAAACCCGCAGUUGGCAAACCAUUACGACACGGUUGGACCCACCUUCAGGCCGUUAAGACAGUCCAUCGGGGCCACCGCCGUGUUUACGAAUUGUGUGCAGCGCCGCCGUGCGGGUUUGCCGUACAAGGCGGCGCUGGUGAACAUGCUGGAGGCGACGUGACCGGACCGCAGGUACAGCUCUGUUGUGAGCGUGUGUGUGCCCCUGGCCAGCG